rnacentral:lncRNA from 1 species
UUUUUUUUUUUUUUUAAGGGCCGCACCCACAGCAUAUGGAGGUGCCCAGGCUCGGGAUUGAAUCGAGCUACAGCUGUAUCACAGUCACAGCAGCACCAGAUCUGAGCCGAAUCUGCGACCUAUACCACAGCUCAUGGCAGUACCGAAUCUUUAACCCACUGAUCGAGGCCAGGGAUCAAACCUGAGUCCUCGUGGAUGCUAGUCAGAUUUGUUUCCAGUGAGCCAUGGCAGGAACUCCUUGUUAUCUGUUCUUAACAUUUCCAAUAGGAAGUUACUUGGUGGAUCACAAGGUAGUGAUCCUUUCUAUAGAUGUGUAGCUGUUAAAACGAUUUUAAAGUUUGUUAAAAUCUGCCUCUUUUAUAAUAUAAAGGUAAAAUUACCCAUCAUUCCAUUGCAACAUAGAAAUCCUGAUAUCAUUUCCAUGUAUCAACUAUUAGGUAUUUUAAAUUUUAAAAAAUUAUUUAUUUACUUAUUGAUUGGCUGUACUGCACCUGUGGCAUGUGGAAGUUCCCUGGCCAGAGAUCGAAUUUGUGCCACAUCAGUAACAAUGCUGGAUCCUUAACUUGUUGAGCCAACAGGGAACUUAAAGAUAUUAGAAAAUUCUAUCAUGUCACUUGAAUCUUAAAUAUUCUCAGUUCUGUCAAUCUUUUCUUUCUUUCUUUUUUUUUUUUUUUUUUUUAGGGCGGCAUCCAGUGCACAUGGAAGUUCCCAGGCUAGGGGUCGAAUCGGAGCUGUAGCCACCGGCCUACGCCAGAGCCACAGCAAUGCGGGAUCCGAGCCGCGUCUGCAAUCUACACCACAGCUCACGGCAACGCCGGAUCGUCAACCCACUGAGCAAGGCCAGGGAUCAAAUCCGCAACCUCAUGGUUCCUAGUUGGAUUCAUUAACCACUGUGCCACGACAGGAACUCCCCUCUGUCACUUUUUAAGAAAUAGUCUCUAAAGGAGAGUGGACUCUGGUUGAAACAUAAAAUUGACAGAUUUUAAUUCUUACAGACAGCAACACAGAUUGGAAUAGAAUGGAACCUGUCCCCUGUUGGCAGAGUCACCCCAAAGGAAUGGAGAGAAGAAUAAUCAUCCCAUCUGGUUUAAUACUGAAUUGUUUCAAAACCACCUCAUAAUUGAUGCCAAGUAAAAGCACUGUGUACCCAUUAAAAUAUGGCAUGAUUGAAGAAAUAAAGUAUAUUUGAAACCUUCAUUGUAGGUUUUAUUUUCUUCUGUUAAUAAAACCAAGGUUUUACUUUUCAUUUAUGUAACUUGUGUUAAGUCAAAACACUGUACAAUUUCUUGAAUAGCUUUUCUCUAUUAAGUAGUAUGAAAGGACACUUUGGCUGUCACCUGGAAGUAGGCUUUAUACUAGGCCGAAAUUACAGUUCAUGAAUAACUGAUCAGAGUUGCUUUAGGUCAUCUUUGAGAUUAAAAUUUGGUGUCCGUAUCUUGGUUAUACCUACUUCUUUCAGCCUCUCAUUUAUGUGUAUAUUUGGGCUAGUCAUUUACUCCUUUUUAUUCCUACCAAGAGAACUUAAGGUGUCAUCAGACCCAUGGGAAGAAUGGUCCUAUCAAAUGAACUUCCAGGAAGUCUACACACCAGUAAGCUUCUUGGCUCCCUUGGGACAUUUAUCUUGAUUAUAGCUUUAGAUUUUUCAGCAUAUUUAUUUGAAAAUUUUAUGAUGUUAUUAAAGUAUCUGUCAAGUAUAGUGUACUUUCACUUAUCUAACUACUUGGACCUCUGCUGUUGGUUUCUGUAGUCAUGCCAACUUUUGGAUUUUGGAUUAACCUGAAUUCAUUGACAUUGGAUUUAUGUGUAAGGCUAACAGAAGAAAAUACAGUAUCUAUACCAUGUGUUUCAUUACUUCCUUGGCCAAAGGCUGGGAAGUAAGCCUUAUGUAGUGGUUUGUUAUAGUAGUCAAGCAAGCAGAAAAUGGAAUUUCAGUUGUGUAACCUGUCUAUAUUGACAAAGAGAUUUCUAAAAUUCACUUAACCUGAUAUUGUAAGUUAUCAGGUAAGUAGCUUUUAGGAAUCUCUACAUUUACCUGAUGUAUGAUGUAGAUAAGGAUUUAUACUUGAUCAAACAUUUAAAAAGUUUACUUAUUACAUGAAAUACUAGAAUGCUCUGAUUUGUUUUCUCAUUAAAUGUGCCAAAGACAAUUUCAUGGUUUAAGUAGGAAAAGUGGUUUGAAUGUCAUUGCAAUCUAAGUAGAUUACAAGAUUAGUAACCAUAGUAGUGCCACUAUUUGAAAAAAUUUGAACACUUGAUAUAUUUAGAAAGAAUGUUAAAAUAGAACUAAAGUAUUCAAAUGCUUGUAAUCCUGUGGAAUGAUUAAGCAAAAUUAACAUGUCUUCUUUUUUUUUUUUUGUCUUUUUGCUAUUUCUUGGGCCGCUCCCGCAGCAUAUAGAGAUUCCCAGGCUAGGGGUCGAAUCGGAGCUGUAGCCACUGGCCUACGCCAGAGCCACAGCAACUCGGGAUCCGAGCUGCGUCUGCAACCUACACCACAGCGAUUAACAUGUCUUUAAGGAAGUUUCAACUUUCCCUUUUUGUUACUGAGUUGGCACUGAGAAUUUCUAAUGACUGGAGGUAAUGAAGAUGUAGUUAAGUCUAAAUUAUUUUGUGCCAUCACAAUAUUUUGAUCUUGCAGCUUUUUUGCUCAGUUUUAUCCUCACAGACGUACUCAUCCAGUAACACCACUUUUGAGAGUGCGAAGUUUAUCAAAUUAGCUGUCUCCUUAUCAAAAAUCUGUAUGUAUGAUGGGGAUCUCUUGUGGUGCAUUGGUUUAAGGAUCUGGUGUUGUCACUGCUAUGACUUGGGUCACUGCUGUGACCUGGGUUUGAUCCCUGGCCCAGAAAUUGUCAUAUGCUGAGGGCGCAGCCAGAAAAAAAAAAAAAAGCCUUUUUUUUUUGGCUGCCCCUGUGGCAUAUGGAAGUUCCCAGGUCUCAGAGCAGUGACCUCAGCCACUGCAGGGAAAGCCAGAUCCUUGACCCGCUGCAUCACAAGGGAACUCCAUAAAUGCCAUUCUUUUUUGCUUUUUUAGGGCCACACCUGCAUAUGGAAGUUCCCACUGAGCGAGGCCAGGUAUCGAAGGUACUAGUUGGGUUCAUAACUUUUGAGCCACAACUAGAACUCCUAGCCCUCUAGUUUUUAUGUAAAGUUUAAAAACUUCAACAUCCUCUACACCCUUAGUCGCUGAGCCUUUCACUUUAAGACACUUUAUAUUUCUACAUGAAUCAUUCUCCCUAUCAGUGCAUACCAGCACUUUUAAAAUUACUGUAUUAUAUGCCGCAGGAGCGGCCCAAGAAAUAGCAACAACAACAACAACAAAAAAGACAAAGACAAAAAAAAAA